UUUAAGGUUUAAUCUGCUCAAUGAUUAUUUAAAUUGCCGCAGUAUUUUGACUGUGCAAAGGUAGCAUAAUAAUUAGUUUCUUUAUUGGGAACUGGAAUGAAUGAUUGGACGAGAAAAUUUCUGUCUCUUUAUUAUUUUAAUUGAAUUUUACUUUUAAGUUAAAAGGCUUAAAUUUUAUUAGAGGACGAGAAGACCCUAUAGAGUUUAAUUUUUAUUUAAAUAAUUAUUUUUAGUAUUUAUAUAUAUUAUUUAAAUAAAAAUUUAGUUGGGGUGACUAAAAGAUAAGAAUAACUCUUUUAAUUUUUAUCAAUUAUUUUUGAUUAUAAAAUCUUUAUUUUUAAUUUUAAAAUAAAUUACCUUAGGGAUAACAGCGUAAUUCUUUUUUAAAGUUCUUAUUAAAAGAAGAGUUUGCGACCUCGAUGUUGGAUUAAAAUUAAUUUUAGGUGUAGAAGCUUGAAAAUUAAGUCUGUUCGACUUUUAAAAUUUUACAUGAUCUGAGUUUAAACCGGUGUGAGCCA
rnacentral:rRNA from 1 species